GCUGAACAUUAUUGCUGUUUACAGUUUAUCUCUAUCUAUAAUAAUAUUCAAGAUAAUAACCAAAAACUGCAAAAUUUCCUUAAAAUUACCAUUUCAGGGGCAGCAACCCAACAACAGAAUGUCUGAUUCAUCUGAAAAUUUCAGGGCAGAUAGAUGUUGACCUGAUGAACAAUUUUACCCCUGUCAGAUUUGCUCUAAAUGCUUUGGUUUUUGAGUUAUAAGCCAAAAACUGCAUUUUACCCCUAUGUUCUAUUUUUUAGCCAUGGCGGCCAUCUUGGUUGGUUGGCCGGGUCACCGGACACAUUUUUUAAACUAGAUACCCCAAUGAUGAUUAUGGCCAAGUUUGGUUAAAUUUGGCCCAGUAGUUUCAGAGGAGAAGAUUUUUCUAAAAGAUUACUAAGAUUUACGAAAAAUGGUUAAAAAUUGACUAUAAAGGGCAAUAACUCCUAAAGUGGUCAACUGACCAUUUUGAU
rnacentral:lncRNA from 1 species